rnacentral:lncRNA from 1 species
AAUACUUUUUUCGUUUCAAGAGUUUUAAAAAUAUAGAAUGUUCAUAAUGACAUCCAAAAAUUGUACCCAAAAAAAUUAAAUUUAGUUUAGUUGUCAAAAUUUUGGUUAUUUUAAAUUACAUGAUUAUGUAAGAUACAUUAAUCAUCAAAACUCAUGCAAAUAAUCAAACAAUGUCAACGUAUUGAGAUAAUGGAGUAAAAGAAAAUAGCUUGACUAAUAUAGAAUUCGUUGUUCAUAACUUUUAGUUACCUUGAACCUCCAAUUGAUGUAAUUUGAUGUCACGAGCUAUACGUAACUGCGUUGCAUUUGUUAUUGCACACAAUGGAAAGAAUUAACACUAAUUUUCCUCAUUAUAUAUGGAAUAUGAUAUUAAAAAAAGUAAUGAUAUAAUCACAACUACCUUUAUAUUUGUACACACUAAUGUCUAGUUGUCGUCAACCUUUUGCAUAAGUAAGUUCAAAUAGGAUGGCUGCCGUAAUUUCAGCAUAGUAAGAAGCGCAUUAAAAAAAAUUAAAAAAAAUUAUUAAUGAGAUUGGUCGGUAGAAUUAUUAUUUUGAUCCAUAUAAGUUUACUGGACUUAUGAAUGACGAGGCUUCGUUUGGUCAUUCAUGUAUGUCAGUAUAUAUAUUUAAACGAUAUUCAUAUAUAAUUUGUAAUGACAGGAUUAAUUGAUAUUUUUUGACAUGUACAUGUAUGUUGAACUGACUUCACAUGUACAUGUAUGUAUAUUUAAAACAGUUUGUCAUGAUAAAGUCGAUACAUGCAUUAAUUUACUGGCGACAAUUUACUGAAAGUCCAUUUUAUCACGAUGUGAAUCUAAUUGAAAGUAUCUGAACUAGUCAAUCACAUAACAUAAAAAGGAGGAAAAAUGAUAAGACAAGCCAGAUACUAUUUAUACUAAUCUCACGUUGUUGAUCACAUUGUGUCCCAAAUCAUUCUUCUGAUUGGAUUUUUUUUUUUUGGUUAAGUUGUUAUAAUCAAUAGAAAUUUACAAUUUGAAAUUUAUUAAAACUCUAGAUACAGACGCAUAUAAUACAACUCCGAGGUCUGGUGAGCAUUGAGUUUGGAAAAAAUGUCCCACUCACAAAUAAGGAGAAAUAUUUUUCAUUCAAUGGGAAUGAACCGGGUAAUUUUUAAAAACCUCCCCUGAGGUUUGGGCUUAUUGCAAGUAGAUGGCGAGAAUUUAUUUAUUUGUAAAAAAACUCCUACCGUCAGUUAACUUUAACAUUGACCGUUAGUUGACUGUGCAAAGACAAUAUUACCCUUAACAACAGUUUGUAGACGGAAAUAACUAAAAAAAAGAUUAAAAUUGUUGGUUAUUUUACCCUCUUUAAAUUAUUGAUAUUUUCUU